rnacentral:lncRNA from 1 species
AGAUACUUACAACAAGUUAUGGCAUAAAUAAAUUGAUGAUGAGAGUAUUGCAAAAAAUAAAAAAUAAAAAAUAAAAAAAUAAUACUCUGUUUUUCAUCGGAGGAGUUGCCUUGUCCACUAAUAGGAGGCUCACCUCAUGCCUGGAAUCUUUGAUACUAGACUUUUCGUGGACAAAUUCUCUCCAAGAGUUAUUAGUUUCAAGAAAAUCUGUUCUCCUUUAUACCAAGUUUUGAUGCAAAAGGAUUUUGUAAAAUGUUUUGGG